AAAUCCAAAUAAAUUCAGAAAAGUAUAAAGAAGUGGAAAAAAAUAAAAGCAACCUUAAAAUCUGACCUAAAGACAUUUGGGUAGGUUCCCGUCUGGGACCGUUAUGAAUAGCGCUGCUGUGAACAUUCUUCUGCACGUUUGUGGUGAAUAUAUAUGCACGUUCCUGUUGGUGCAGUCAUUUUAAUGAUUAUGAAGAACAAAACCAAGUCAGGAGUCUGCCUCCAGAAUUGGAAACAUCACCUCGGUCCCCAGUUCUGUUCACCUGUGAAUACUUUUACACCUGUACACAAUCUUACUGGAAGCAACAGAAGCUGUGCCAACCUUCCUCAAAGAAAGGACAAAGGAUCACUUUAGCUGUUUCUUCUUACUUUGAUCUAGACAAAUGCUUUUUGGGGAGCGUUUUCUUACACUGGCUUGAGCUAAUUACCCCAAAUUGGACUUAAAGAGUUUGCGCCUGCUUUUGGCUCUUUGGAUUACAGUCCGGACUCACAUCUUCAAACUGCCCCACUUCCCUGAGCUCAAGACCCACAUUUUCCACUGUGAGCUGAAUGUUGCCACCUGACGUUUCCACCUGAACGCCUUGUCCGUGCCUGACACUCAUCCAGGCUCUGCGAAUGCAGUGUGGUUGAGUCGAGGAAGAUGUUUCUGCUCUCCUGGAAUUCACCUAGAGUUGAGGAGACAUAGACCACAAACAAAUACGCAAACAAGAAAACUUCAGGUAGUGCCGAGAGCCUUGAUGAAAAGAAAACACAGAGAAGGGACAAGAAUAGAUGGCCACUUCAGGUGUGAGGUCAGUUCAAGAGGGCCUUUCUGAAGAGGUGAUGUCGAAACUAAGCAAGCCACGGGGGCAUUUGGGAGAAGAACAUUCCAGAAAUAAUAUUCUUUCAUUCAUUCAAAUAGAUGAAGGUGAUGUGGUUUGAAAAAAAAACUGAAAGUGAUUAGUAAGGCCGGAGCAUAACGAGCUUGUAGGAGAGUAAAAUUCACCAUCUUUCCUUCCAGCUGAACUUGACCCCUCCAUUUCUCUGACCUUUCAUUGAUGCUAUGGGUGUCCUGGAAGUCCUGUCAGGAACCCUUAUAGGCCCUCAUCCAGCUAAUCACAAAGCCUCGA